CAAUCGGCCCUUUUCAGGGCCACUACUUACUAAAGAAAGUGAAUU
rfam:Daphnia pulex DAPPTscaffold_6_Cont420, whole genome shotgun sequence.